UACGGAGGGUGCAAGCGUUGUCCGGAUUUAUUGGGUUUAAAGGGUGCGUAGGCGGCUUUUUAAGUCAGUGGUGAAAGACAACAGCUCAACUGUUGCAGUGCCAUUGAUACUGAAGAGCUUGAGUACAGAUGAGGUAGGCGGAAUUUAUGGUGUAGCGGUGAAAUGCAUAGAUACCAUAAAGAACACCUAUUGCGAAGGCAGCUUACUAAGCUGUAACUGACGCUGAGG
rnacentral:rRNA from 1 species